GAUGAACGCUGGCGGCGUGCCUAAUACAUGCAAGUCGAGCGAACAGACGAGGAGCUUGCUCCUCUGACGUUAGCGGCGGACGGGUGAGUAACACGUGGAUAACCUACCUAUAAGACUGGGAUAACUUCGGGAAACCGGAGCUAAUACCGGAUAAUAUAUUGAACCGCAUGGUUCAAUAGUGAAAGACGGUUUUGCUGUCACUUAUAGAUGGAUCCGCGCCGCAUUAGCUAGUUGGUAAGGUAACGGCUUACCAAGGCAACGAUGCGUAGCCGACCUGAGAGGGUGAUCGGCCACACUGGAACUGAGACACGGUCCAGACUCCUACGGGAGGCAGCAGUAGGGAAUCUACAGAAAUGGGCGAAAGCCUGACGGAGCAACGCCGCGUGAGUGAUGAAGGUCUUCGGAUCGUAAAACUCUGUUAUUAGGGAAGAACAAAUGUGUAAGUAACUAUGCACGUCUUGACGGUACCUAAUCAGAAAGCCACGGCUAACUACGU
rnacentral:rRNA from 1 species